UACAUGGGGUGCAAACGUUGCUCGGAAUCAUUGGGCGUAAAGCGCGCGUAGGCGGUUGCUUAUGUCGGAUGUGAAAGCCCUCGGCUUAACUGAGGAAGUGCAUCCGAAACUGGGCAGCUAGAGUACGAAAGAGGGUCGCGGAAUUCCCGGUGUAGAGGUGAAAUUCGUAGAUAUCGGGAGGAACACCGAUGGCGAAGGCAAUCCCCUGGGCCUGCACUGACGCUCAUGCACGAAAGCGUGGGGAGCAAACAGG
rnacentral:rRNA from 1 species